ACGCUGGCGGCGUGCUUAAUACAUGCAAGCCAACUUGACUUUAGAUAGCAAUAUCGAAAAGUAGGGUGGCGCACGGGUGCGUAACGCGUAGGUAAUCUGCCCUGAGGUCUGACAUAACCCGUCGAAAGGCGGGCUAACAUCAGAUGAUAUAUAGUCACGACAUCGUGGAAAUAUCAAAUCUUCGGAGCCUUGGGAUGAGCCUGCGUCUGAUUAGGUAGUUGGCGGAGUAAUAGCCCACCAAGCCUACGAUCAGUAGCUGGUCUGAGAGGAUGAUCAGCCACACUGGAACUGAGACACGGUCCAGACUCCUACGGGAGGCAGCAGUAAGGAAUAUUGCUCAAUGGGGGGAAACCCUGAAGCAGCAACGCCGCGUGAAGGAUGAAAUACUUUGUAUGUAAACUUCUGUAAGAUGGGAAAAAUAUUCUCCUUGGGAGAAUUGAUUGUACCAUCAGAGUAAGCCCCGGCUAACUACGUG
rnacentral:rRNA from 1 species